rnacentral:rRNA from 1 species
UACGGAGGGUGCAAGCGUUAUCCGGAUUCACUGGGUUUAAAGGGUGCGUAGGCGGGUAUGUAAGUCCGUGGUGAAAUCCCCGAGCUUAACUCGGGAACUGCCAUUGAUACUAUAUAUCUUGAAUAUUCUGGAGGUAUGCGGAAUAUGUCAUGUAGCGGUGAAAUGCUUAGAGAUGACAUAGAACACCUAUUGCGAAGGCAGCAUACUACGGAAAGAUUGACGCUGAGGCACGAAAGUGUGGGGAUCAAACAGG